AUGCAAGUCGAACGGAAAGGCCCCUUCGGGGGUACUCGAGUGGCGAACGGGUGAGUAACACGUGGGCAAUCUGCCCUGCACUUCGGGAUAAGCCUGGGAAACUGGGUCUAAUACCGGAUAGGACCUUUAGGCGCAUGUCUUUAGGUGGAAAGCUUUUGCGGUGUGGGAUGGGCCCGCGGCCUAUCAGCUUGUUGGUGGGGUGAUGGCCUACCAAGGCGACGACGGGUAGCCGGCCUGAGAGGGUGUCCGGCCACACUGGGACUGAGAUACGGCCCAGACUCCUACGGGAGGCAGCAGUGGGGAAUAUUGCACAAUGGGCGCAAGCCUGAUGCAGCGACGCCGCGUGGGGGAUGACGGCCUUCGGGUUGUAAACCUCUUUCACCAUCGACGAAGGUCCGGGUUUUCUCGGAUUGACGGUAGGUGGAGAAGAAGCACCGGCCAACUACGUGCCAGCAGCCGCGGUAAUACGUAGGG
rnacentral:rRNA from 1 species